GUGAGGAAUAUUGGUCAAUGGGCGAGAGCCUGAACCAGCCAAGUAGCGUGCAGGAUGACGGCCCUAUGGGUUGUAAACUGCUUUUAUAAGGGAAUAAAGUGAGCCUCGUGAGACUUUUUGCAUGUACCUUAUGAAUAAGGACCGGCUAAUUCCGUGCCAGCAGCCGCGGUAAUACGGAGGAUCCGAGCGUUAUCCGGAUUUAUUGGGUUUAAAGGGAGCGUAGAUGGAUGUUUAAGUCAGUUGUGAAAGUUUGCGGCUCAACCGUAAAAUUGCAGUUGAUACUGGAUAUCUUGAGUGCAGUUGAGGCAGGCGGAAUUCGUGGUGUAGCGGUGAAAUGCUUAGAUAUCACGAAGAACUCCGAUUGCGAAGGCAGCCUGCUAAGCUGCAACUGACAUUGAGGCUCGAAAGUGUGGGUAUCAAACAGGA
rnacentral:rRNA from 1 species